AGUCGAAGGUAACAGGAAAUAGCUUGCUAUUUUGCUGACGAGUGGCGCACGGGUGCGUAACGCGUAUACAAUCUACCUUUUGCUGAGGGAUAGCCCAGAGAAAUUUGGAUUAAUACCUCAUGGUAUUAUUGAUAGGCAUCUAUUAAUAAUUAAAGGUUACGGCAAAAGAUGAGUAUGCGUCCCAUUAGCUAGUUGGUGAAGUAACGGUUCACCAAGGCAACGAUGGGUAGGGGUCCUGAGAGGGAGAUCCCCCACACUGGUACUGAGACACGGACCAGACUCCUACGGGAGGCAGCAGUGAGGAAUAUUGGACAAUGGGCGAGAGCCUGAUCCAGCCAUGCCGCGUGCAGGAAGACUGCCCUAUGGGUUGUAAACUGCUUUUAUACAGGAAGAAUAAGCCUUAUGUGUAAGGUGAUGACGGUACUGUAAGAAUAAGGACCGGCUAACUCCGUGCCAGCAGCCGCGGUAAUACGGAGGGUCCGAGCGUUAUCCGGAAUUAUUGGGUUUAAAGGGUCCGUAGGCGGAUGAUUAAGUCAGGGGUGAAAGUUUGCAGCUCAACUGUAAAAUUGCCUUUGAUACUGGUCAUCUUGAGUUGUAUUGAAGUAGGCGGAAUAUGUAGUGUAGCGGUGAAAUGCAUAGAUAUUACAUAGAACACCAAUUGCGAAGGCAGCUUACUAAGUACUAACUGACGCUGAUGGACGAAAGCGUGGGUAGCGAACAGGAUUAGAUACCCUGGUAGUCCACGCCGUANACGAUGGAUACUAGCUGUUCGGGACCUUGAGUUCUGAGCGGCUAAGCGAAAGUGAUAAGUAUCCCACCUGGGGAGUACG
rnacentral:rRNA from 1 species